UACGUAGGGGGCUAGCGUUGUCCGGAAUCAUUGGGCGUAAAGCGCGCGUAGGCGGCCCGGUAAGUCCGCUGUGAAAGUCCAGGGCUCAACCCUGGAAAGCCGGUGGAUACUGCCGGGCUAGAGUCCGGGAGAGGCGAGUGGAAUUCCUGGUGUAGCGGUGGAAUGCGCAGAUAUCAGGAGGAACACCUAAGGCGAAGGCAGCUCGCUGGAACGGUACUGACGCUGAGGCGCGAAAGCUAGGGGAGCAAACGGG
rnacentral:rRNA from 1 species